rnacentral:lncRNA from 1 species
GGUUGUCCUCAUAACCAAAGAGUGUGGAGACACUGGUAUGGCAUACAGGUGAGAUGUAAUGGUAAAUCUGCACUGAACGUGACCAACUCCAGAGCUAUUUCUGCUGUCAAGAUUUGCUCCGAUGGGAUAUGGGUAUACAUGUCCCUCCGACCUGAGACCACCACGGUGACUUGCAAGCAACUCACUGCACUUAGGCACUGGACUACCUGAAUUUCUAAUUCAAUGAUGGAAGUCUGCUGGGUGUAGUCAAGUACUUGACUUGUCGGUGCGUGUGUCAAGAUGGGAUUGACCACUCCAGUUUAGGAGCUAUGUACAGUCAUAUUUCAAUUUAGCAAAACCUUGGCCAGGGUAGUCCUAGUGAGGAGUCACAGGACUAAUUGAGUUGAGCACGAUUCGGAUGAUAUCAUCAGGGUUGACAGUUUAACCCUGAGUCAUCCUAAACACAGGGGUCAAAAGGGAUGAAUUAUA